GCGGAGCCGGGGCGGGAGGUGGGGAGGAACCGAAGCAGGGUACCGACCGGGUAACGGCCCGGGGUGGCACGUGGAGGUGGCGCCCAUAGGUUCGGCUCAGCCAGGGUUUUGCCUCCCACUCGAGAGGAAUCGAUUUUUUUCAAAAAGAUGUGCAAGAUUUCCAAUAAAUAGCAUCCUCGGAUGGAGAAGAGGAAUGACUCCCUCACCCUGACACACGCACCCACGCCAACCCACUGCUCAGAAGAGGCUUUUCUUUCUUAGGCGGCGGCGCACUGUUACCAUUCCAGGCUUGUGUGGGAGAUUGUUGUUCGCCUAUGUCUGUCCGCUUGGGCGGCUCCAGCCCCUGGUUAAUAAAAGGUACAGAUGGUUAGAACACAAA